AUACGGAGGAUCCGAGCGUUAUCCGGAUUUAUUGGGUUUAAAGGGAGCGUAGGCGGACGCUUAAGUCAGUUGUGAAAGUUUGCGGCUCAACCGUAAAAUUGCAGUUGAUACUGGGUGUCUUGAGUACAGUAGAGGCAGGCGGAAUUCGUGGUGUAGCGGUGAAAUGCUUAGAUAUAACGAAGAACUCCGAUUGCGAAGGCAGCCUGCUGGACUGUAACUGACGCUGAUGCUCGAAAGUGUGGGUAUCAAACAGGAUUAGAUACCCUGGUAGUCCGCACAGUAAACGAUGAAUACUCGCUGUUUGCGAUACACUGUAAGCGGCCAAGCGAAAGCGUUAAGUAUUCCACCUGGGGAGUACGCCGGCAACGGUGAAACUCAAAGGAAUUGACUGGG
rnacentral:rRNA from 1 species